CCUACGGGGGGCAGCAGUGAGGAAUAUUGGUCAAUGGGCGCAAGCCUGAACCAGCCAAGUCGCGUGAGGGAAGACGGCCCUACGGGUUGUAAACCUCUUUUGCCGGGGAGCAAGCCUGAGCACGUGUGCCCAGGCGGAGAGUACCCGGAGAAAAAGCAUCGGCUAACUCCGUGCCAGCAGACGCGGUAAUACGGAGUAUUCGAGCUUUAUCCGGAUUUAUUGGGUUUAAAGGGUGCGCAGGCGGGCUGUUAAGCCGGCGGUAAAAAUUCGGGGCUCAACCCUGUCGAGCCGUCGAAACUGGCAUCCUUGAGUGGGCGAGAAGUAUGCGGAAUGCGUGGUGUAGCGGUGAAAUGCAUAGAUAUCACACAGAACGCCGGUUGCGAAGGCAGCAUACCGGCGCCCGACUGACGCUGAGGCACGAAAGCGUGGGGAUCGAACAGGAUUAGAUACCCUUGUAGUC
rnacentral:rRNA from 1 species